GGUUGUGAGAAUGAUCAGGCUGCAACAUCUGUCAACCCUUUGAUCACCAGGGUUGAUUGAUUCUGCUGAUCUGGCUAGCUGAGCAGAUGUUUCCUUCCUUAGUCACCUCUCCACAAGCCUGGGUUUAUCCCUAAGCUGCAGGCUCAGAGGACAAGUAUGACGACCCUCCAUGAAUAUAAGCAGACCAGUCUAUGGUCCACCUGCUAAAACCUCCAAACAGACUCUCAACAAAGAUUUUGUUUGUUUGUUUGUUUGUUUGUUUUCGAGUCAGAGUUUCUCUGUAUAUCUCUGGCUGUCCUGGAACUCACUUUGUAGACCAGGCUG
ensembl:misc_RNA Gm22453 predicted gene, 22453